rnacentral:rRNA from 1 species
AUUGAACGCUGGCGGCAGGCCUAACACAUGCAAGUCGAGCGGCAGCACGGGUACUUGUACCUGGUGGCGAGCGGCGGACGGGUGAGUAAUGCCUAGGAAUCUGCCUGGUAGUGGGGGAUAACGCUCGGAAACGGACGCUAAUACCGCAUACGUCCUACGGGAGAAAGCAGGGGACCUUCGGGCCUUGCGCUAUCAGAUGAGCCUAGGUCGGAUUAGCUAGUUGGUGAGGUAAUGGCUCACCAAGGCGACGAUCCGUAACUGGUCUGAGAGGAUGAUCAGUCACACUGGAACUGAGACACGGUCCAGACUCCUACGGGAGGCAGCAGUGGGGAAUAUUGGACAAUGGGCGAAAGCCUGAUCCAGCCAUGCCGCGUGUGUGAAGAAGGUCUUCGGAUUGUAAAGCACUUUAAGUUGGGAGGAAGGGCAUUAACCUAAUACGUUAGUGUUUUGACGUUACCGACAGAAUAAGCACCGGCUAACUCUGUGC